UCUGGUUGAUCCUACCAGUAAUAUACGCUCGUCUCAAAGGUUAAGCCAUGCAUGUCUAAGUACAAACAGAUUUAAUGUGAAACCGCAUAAGGCUCAGUAUAACAGCUAUAAUUUACGAGAUCAUCAACUUAGUUACUUGGAUAACUGUGGAAAAUCUAGAGCUAAUACAUGCAACAUGCCAGGACCUCGCCGGAACUGGUGCACUUAUUAGUCAAACCAAUCGCGGGUUCUCCGUGUCAUUGAGUUGAAGUCUGGAUAAUGAUGCCGAUCGUAUGGUCUCGCACCGACGACAGAUCUCGCAAAUAUCUGCCCUAUCAACUAUGGAUGGUAGUAUAGAGGACUACCAUGGUUGCAACGGGUAACGGGGAAUCAGGGUUCGAUUCCGGAGAGGGAGCCUGAGAAAUGGCUACCACAUCCAAGGAAGGCAGCAGGCGCGUAAAUUACCCAAUCCCGGCACGGGGAGGUAGUGACGAGAAAUAACAAUAUGAAACUCUUUAAUGAUGUUUCAUAAUUGGAAUGAGUCGAGCAUAAAUCCUUCAACAAGGAUCAAGUGGAGGGCAAGUCUGGUGCCAGCAGCCGCGGUAAUUCCAGCUCCACUAGCGUAUAUUAAAAUUGUUGCGGUUAAAACGUUCGAAGUUGAUACUUGUCCAACACAGGCCGGCACCGCUGACCCGGUCAACCCGUGGUCGGUGGAAUACGUCGGAAUCUGGUUGCGACUCAAUGGUGUGGUAGGGCACCAAGUCUGUGUCAAGAAAUGCCCUUUAACGGGUGUAGUACUAGAACAUAGAGCUCGACCGCUCACGUUUACCUUGAACAAAUUAGAGUGCUUAAAGCAGGGUACCCAAAUGCCCUAGAAUAAUCUAGCAUGGAAUUACCUUAUUGGUCCACCUUAAAGGUUUACCAAUGAUUAACCUUUUAGCCUAAGACUUAACCUAAACAGUGGGACAGAAGGUGGAGAGGUGAAGGGGGAAAUUAGAACGAAGAGGAACGUUAGUGGGAUCGGAGCGAAGAAAGGGAGAAGAAGUCGAACCACUCAGAACGCUCAUUGAAGCGACGGACUGCGGCCACAAGCGGGUCAUCCUGGCCAUGCCUCGUACGGCGAGCGGGCACAUCCAGAAGGGGACGGGGGCGGAAGAUGCGCGAAGGAGCGUAGAUAUGAAUCUGGGAAAGUAAGGAGGGACAGUCAACCUCGCCUAGCAAAAGACCAGCAACGAAUAGAGUCUGGGCGUUAAUGCGCCUGGACUCGAGGGUCUCGAUACCCAGGAGCUGGCAGCGGGCCUGGUAGUCCAAUCUCGGGGCCGAGUAAUCGAGAUGACGAUGGAGGGCAAACCUGGUGAAGCAACGCUGAACACCUUCAAGCCUUGCUACCCAGCCAGAACCAGAGGGGCACCAAACCACACUGCCAUACUCUAAAAUGGACCGUACAAGGCUGAAAUAUAAUGCCUUCAGGCACAUAGGGUCAUAGAAGUCCGCAGCGUAUUUGCGGAGGAGACCGAGGGUUUUGUAGGCCUUGGAAAUAAUUGAAUCCAUGUGAAUUGAGAAGUGAAGACCAGAGUCAAGGAUCACACCGAUGUCGCGGAUAGUGUCAACGCGAACGAGAGGAGUGCCAGUAAGGGAGUAUGGUUGAUGGAUGGGAUUGCGGGAUCGAGUGAAGGAAAUAGUGGAGCAUUUGGAUUGACAGAGGGUGAGGAAAUUCGCAGAGCACCAGUCUGCGAAAAGAUUGAGGUGGGAUUGUAAAAGCAGGCAAUCAGAAGGAUUGUGAAUGGGGAGGAAGAUUUUAA
rnacentral:rRNA from 1 species